rnacentral:rRNA from 1 species
UACGGAGGGGGCUAGCGUUGUUCGGAAUUACUGGGCGUAAAGCGCACGUAGGCGGCUUUGUAAGUUAGAGGUGAAAGCCCAGGGCUUAACCCUGGAAUUGCCUUUAAGACUGCAUCGCUCGAAUUGUGGAGAGGUAAGUGGAAUUGCGAGUGUAGAGGUGAAAUUCGUAGAUAUUCGCAGGAACACCAGUGGCGAAGGCGGCUCACUGGUCCGGUACUGACGCUGAGGUGCGAAAGCGUGGGGAGCAAACAGG